rnacentral:rRNA from 1 species
CGGACGGGUGAGUAACACGUGGAUAACCUACCUAUAAGACUGGGAUAACUUCGGGAAACCGGAGCUAAUACCGGAUAAUAUUUUGAACCUCAUGGUUCAAAAGUAAAAGACGGUCUUGCUGUCACUUAUAGAUGGAUCCGCGCUGCAUUAGCUAGUUGGUAAGGUAACGGCUUACCAAGGCAACGAUGCAUAGCCGACCUGAGAGGGUGAUCGGCCACACUGGAACUGAGACACGGUCCAG